rnacentral:rRNA from 1 species
CUACGUGCCAGCAGCCGCGGUAAUACGGAGGGUGCGAGCGUUAAUCGGAAUAACUGGGCGUAAAGGGCACGCAGGCGGCUAUUUAAGUGAGGUGUGAAAGCCCCGGGCUUAACCUGGGAAUUGCAUUUCAGACUGGGUAGCUAGAGUACUUUAGGGAGGGGUAGAAUUCCACGUGUAGCGGUGAAAUGCGUAGAGAUGUGGAGGAAUACCGAAGGCGAAGGCAGCCCCUUGGGAAUGUACUGACGCUCAUGUGCGAAAGCGUGGGGAGCAAACAGGAUUAGAUACCCUGGUAGUCCACGCUGUAAACGCUGUCGAUUUGGGGAUUGGGCUUUAAGCUUGGUGCCCGUAGCUAACGUGAUAAAUCGACCGCCUGGGGAGUACGGCCGCAAGGUUAAAACUCAAAUGAAUUGACGGGGGCCCGCACAAGCGGUGGAGCAUGUGGUUUAAUUCGAUGCAACGCGAAGAACCUUACCUACUCUUGACAUCCAUGGAAUUCUGUAGAGAUACGGGAGUGCUUCGGGA